CCCCUAGUAACUCGGAGUGAAGCGGGAAAAGCUCAAAUUUAAAAUCUGGCAGUCUUUGAUUGUCCGAGUUGUAAUCUAGAGAAGUGUUAUCCGCGUUGGACCGUGUACAAGUCUCCUGGAAUGGAGCAUCAUAGAGGGUGAGAAUCCCGUCUUUGACACGGACUACCAGUGCUUUGUGAUGCGCUCUCAAAGAGUCGAGUUGUUUGGGAAUGCAGCUCAAAAUGGGUGGUAAAUUCCAUCUAAAGCUAAAUAUUGGCGAGAGACCGAUAGCGAACAAGUACCGUGAGGGAAAGAUGAAAAGAACUUUGGAAAGAGAGUUAAACAGUACGUGAAAUUGCUGAAAGGGAAACGCUUGAAGUCAGUCGCGUUGGCUGGAAAUCAACCUUGCUUUUGCUGGGCGUACUUUCUAGUCAAUGGGUCAGCAUCAAUUUUGACCAUUGGAAAAAGUGUAGAGGAAUGUGGCAUCUUCGGAUGUGUUAUAGCCUUUGCUCGCAUACAGUGGUUGGGAUUGAGGAAUUCAGCAGGGAAAAAA
rnacentral:rRNA from 1 species